UACAGAGGGUGCGAGCGUUAAUCGGAUUUACUGGGCGUAAAGGGCGCGUAGGUGGUAAAGCAAGUAAGAUGUGAAAGCCCUAGGCUUAACCUGGGAAGCGCGUCUUAAACUGCUUAACUAGAGUAUGAUAGAGGGUAGUGGAAUUUCCGGUGUAGCGGUGAAAUGCGUAGAGAUCGGAAGGAACGCCAGUGGUGAAGACGACUACCUGGAUCAAUACGGACACUGAGGCGCGAAAGCGUGGGGAUCAAACAGG
rnacentral:rRNA from 1 species